CAAGACAUAUCUGUUGUAACUUUUGUACCUUCGCCUCCUUGUGCUUUGUCUGUCUCAGCCCCUUGCAUAUUUAUACCAUAGAAGGAUCUCAUUUGCUUCUAUAAUGUUCAAUCCAAGCUUCAAUCACAAGACCCACUUCAGAGUUUUGUAUUUCCUCUUCGAAUUUUGAAGUAUAGAAGGAGAGAUGAUGAUGAUGAUUGGUGUUGCUAGUGUGCAAGGCUUGAUUGAUUUAGUGGUAGCAGGGAUUUCUUUGAUGAUUUGUUUGGGAAUUUUUGCAUUCAUUGCUUCUAUUCUUUGCUCUGCUGCUUUCUUCCACCAUGCCAAGGAGGUCUCUUGAUCCAUGCAUCCGAGGAAUCAAUAUUGACUAUAAUGCUAAGUUGAAUAAAUGGUGUUUCCAAGGAGGUACAUAGAUGAAAUGUUGAAAUGCAGUACUUCUCUGCAAUUGCUACAAGAAUAUGUUAACCACUACAUAGACCGAGUUCCCUCUCUGAAACUCUCGCUCACUUGUAUCAAUGAGAAUGUACCAUGCAGUGUUCAACAAUUAAUAAAAGUCUUUGGAGACAUUAGACUCU